CCAGUCAAUCCAGCCUCUUCACAAACUACUGUGCAGAAUCUUCAUAAGACGUCUCUACAUCCCUUCCCAUUGUAUCUUUUAAAACGUGCUUGACUUCCUUUGGGAUAUUUUUGUGUAUGUUUGUGUUCUUGACCCUUUAGUGUUAAAACUACCAUCUAGCCCUUCCUUGCCACAUAAAUAUAGCAAAAUGUUACCUUUACUGCAGUCUGCUGCUGCUGGCUCUGCCCCCGAUCUGCCUGAUAAAAAGCCAAUCACAAUGCUUUUACAUUAGAUUGGCUGAGACUGUCAACGAGGCAGAUUAGUGGCAGAGCCAAACACAGCCCUGGCCAAUCAGCAUCUCCUCAUAGAGAUUAAUUGAAUUAAUUAAUCUAUUUGAGGAAAGUUCAGUUUCUCCAUGCAGAGAAUGGAUACACUGAAUGGCCCC